ANAAACGAUUACGGCAUUAAAGUAAUACCCGAAGUAAAAAGCGUCCAUAUAACGUGGAAUAAAGUAAGUGUUUUUUUUAUUGUAAUUAUUAAUUGUUAAUUUACCGUUUUAAAACUGUAAAUAUACUGUAAAACAUCAUUGUUACGUAUUAGGUAUACUUAAAUAAACAUUUUUAAUUUCCAGAUAAUUACUAAACGACUUGAAUGCGAAGUUCGUGAAUAUGUUUUGACGUUAACGUUAAAUCAAUCGAAAAAUGGAAUCUCUGAUAUUCAAGAAAUAUUAUCAAGUUCAGACAGUGGACACGUAAUAAACGAUCUCUAUCCUGGAUAUCGAUACACCGUUUCAAUGACUCCUAAAACUUCUUUAGGUUCCUUACAGCCAUCAUCUACUUAUUCAUUUAGUCCAUUUAUGCCGGGUAAAUAUUAGUUUUAAUUAAAUUAACUUAUAUGUCAAUAUAAACGUUUUUUUUCUUUAUUUUUUAAUUAAUUUUAAAUUUAUAGAGUCAGAAAUGAAAAUAAUUGAUAUUGUCACUAGCAUCAACAAUGAUAAAAUAAAAGUAUCGUGGAAAUUAGGAUCUUCAGUUUAUCCAUUCAAUACGUUGGUUAAAAACCCAGUAACAUGCGUUGUCAGUUACAAAGUAAUUUUAUUAAAUUUAAAUAAUAUUAGUUACCUACCUACUUUUACUUAUCUAACUCGUUCAACAAUAAUUAGUAAAUAUUUCGAAUGAAAACUAUGUUCGAUUAAUUUACAAUUAUUAUAUAUUAUGAAUUCAAACAUUUAAACCCCUUUUGAAGUUAUGACCAUGUGGUGCUUAUACUUACGAGUAAAUGUAUUUUAUUAUGUCAAAUACUUCUUCAUUCCAAUAUGAAAUACUUAUGCAAGUUAUUUAAAUAAAAUAAUUACAAUGUCGUUCGGUUAAUUAUAAAUAAUUUAUUAUACUAAUUUAGUAGAUAUGAAUUUAUCCAAAUAUAGGGUGAUAAUAUUUAUAUUACAGAUUAUUUAGCUAAACUUAAAACAACCUAAAUAUUUUAACAAAAGAAUACACGUUGAUAAUCGACUUUAAUACGACUUUUGGUCACAUAUAUUCUAUAAAUUAAAUCCACGCUUAUACAAUAUUUUAGCUCAAUAGAAUAUUCAGUUGUUCUCUAAAUGAAAUAAAGAACGAUAAUUGGACAUCAAUACAAAUUUACAACCAAACAAGUUAUGACAUAUUCGGUGCUGUACCUCAUUCACAAUACUAUAUUAAAGUCGGAGUUCUCAAUUCAGUUCAAAAAGAAAAUACGGUGUAUGUUUAUACACCACCGUCAAGUAAAAUAAUAUAUUAUCAAACUCUCCUACAGUCACACAUUGUUAUUUACUAUAUAAUAUAAAUAUUUGCCCUUUAGAUCCACAAAUAAAACCUGAAAUCGAUAUAAACUCUCCAAUAUCAGUGACGAAUAGCUCGGUAAACGUUAAGUGGAAUGCCGAUUCUAUAGAUUGUACAAAGCUGAACGGAUUCUUAUUGGGAUAUUAUAUAGAAUUAAAGGUUUUUUUAUAAAUAAAAGUACACACAAUUAUUUCUUUACUAUAUAAUAUCCAAAUCAUUUUUUUUUUUUUUUUAAGGAUACGAGUAGUAAUAUUUUAAAAACAAAAGAGACGAAACAAAAUAUUAUUUCUUUCGAUAAUCUCAAUUCGAAUACUACCUACGAAAUGAAAGUUUUUAUAAAAACACAUGUCGGUUAUAACCCUGAGCAAUUUUUACGUGUCAAUUUUACUACUAAACUUAUGAGUAGGUUAACCAAAAUAUAUUGUAUAUUUGUAUGAAACUAUAAAAAUAUUAUUUCUAUAUGGUCUAUAUGAUAAUUAUAGAUUUGAAGCCAGUUGAUGAUUUAAUGGUUUAUAAAAAGAGUGCGAAAAGUGGGGUAGUAGGAUUUCGUUGGAGCUUUUUGUCAGAAAAUACAAAUUUGAAUGGAUUCAUAGUUUCAUUUAAUGAAAACUUAACAAAUACAUCUUUCAUUCUACCAAUUAAAUGUCCUGCUUGGCCAGAAUACUACUGUCAUACAUUCUAUAAUUUAAAUUUUAAUAAGGACUAUGAUAAAACUUAUACAUUCAAAGUACGUGCAUAAUAAAUUUCCACGAGUAUUCAAUUAUUUGGAUCGUACGAAAUACAUUGUUUAUUAAAAGAUUUUUAAAAUAUUAUAGAUAACUCCUAAGUCAUAUGAUUAUCCAAAUGGUGGUGUUGUUUCAUCGAUUUCUUUCAACGUUGAAGACGGACGUAAGUUAAAUGAUAUUUACACUAUGAGUUCUGGCUAUUAAAUAACGAUUUAUGAAAAAUGGUUUUAUUUUAAAAAUUAUUCCACAACCAAAUGUUCCCCUUCAAUAUACUCUCCUCCCUUCCUCACACACCGUUUCAUUCGUUUCUUCCAUAGCUCGAGGCAGUGCUGGAAGUCUGUUUUCGUAAGACUCAUCGACUCCAUCGACUCAAACCGGAUUCCUUUUAAGGUAGACUUUAUCUUCGGAAACAAGUAAAAGUCGCAGGGUGCCAAGUCGGGUGAGUAAGACUCGUGUUCGAGUACUGGAGUGCCUUAAGCGGCCAAAUAACGCUUCACAGACAGCGCGUUAUGGGCAUCGUUAUGGGUUAUCGACCGUUUCUUACGAACUCAUUCGCGCAAUGUUGCCAAAACUGUCAAAUAGUAAUGUUGGUUCACAGUUUGACCCUCUGGAACCCAUUCAGUCAUCACAAUACCGUUGAUAUCGAAGAAAACGGUUUUGAAUUUGGAUUACGACUGAAUUGGAUUCCGGUGCACUCUCNUAUAGGCCUCUUUUAACAACUUAUAGCACUCAGUUGGAGUUUUUUUUUUAGUUUAACGAGAAAAUUUUACGUUUAUCCGUUGAUCAUGUUUUUCGUCACACAUCGUUUUCGGCAAGAGAAAAAAACAUGUUCGUUUCUAAACGCUACAGAAAAAAUACUAAUGCACCAACAAAAACCCAAUUUUGUACUGACAUAAUAGACACUUCCAGCUAACCAGCGCUGUAUUCGGUUUUCCCCUAACCUUUUGGGACACUCUCUACGUAUGUCCUCGAUGAUUUGGAAUUCAAGGAAUCAAGCUGGAAAAAGAAAUAAGAAAUAUAAAAUAUUCCAAUUUUCAAUCUGUGAAGAUGUGAGAGAAAAAAAAUUCAAUCCAAAGGAAUUUGAACAUUAUUGUAUUGAAAAAAUGUAAAAAUUAUUCACUAAGCGCGCUUACCUCAUUUUUUAGUUAUUUUUAUAUUCGAAUUCUAUUUUUGGAAUGUUUAAGUGUAUUGAAAGCCGAUUUUUUCGAUAUACUUAUACAUAUUUUUAUCAUUUAAAGAAUAUUUUAUGUUGAUUGGCGAUAAAAACUUUGAUUUUUCAAGUGAGAAUUUCUAUUAAAAAUUCUAUAAAUAGAUGGAUUAGUUUUAUUUUAAAUACAUUUUGGUGCCAACAUUUUUGAUUUCCAUCAAUUCGUUCACUUAAUAUUUUAUUUUUAUUUCAGGUAGGGGAAGAGUAGUGGCUUAUAAUUUAUGUUGUGGCAGGGUGCGCAGCGUUUUAUUAGUGCUCCACUAUUAUUCUUCUACAUAAUCUAAAAAGUUGAAUAUCUCGUCAACGGGUUGACGGAACCCAAUUAAAAAUUUCAACACUGAAAUUUAUUGCAACUAUUACUUUAUCAAUUUAUGCAAUUUUUAAUUUAGGUUCCAAUUUUAACUUUUAAUGUUAACCCCCAAAAACUCCCCAAAUAAUACAUGAAAAUGAUAAAAUCAACGUCCUAGGAUAUGGGGACGAGUGCAUCCAGUGUUUUAGGCAUAGGCGUACGCUGUGGUAAUGCCAGGUAUGCCAUGACAUCCCUUACGGUCUGCAAACCAAUUUUUUUGUUCUUUAAUAUUUUAUAAACUUUUUUAUAAAUUGUUAUCCGUUAAGAAAUGUCAACACUUAAUCUUUCGUUUUUUUUUUAAAAAAUUGUCAUCAGGUCUAAUAUCCUAAAUUGUGAUUUUCAUAAAAUAUAAUUAAGUAAUAAUGGGGGUUUAGGAUUUAGAUAUGACAUCGACGCAUUACCUGACAGAGUUACAGAUUACCAAUAAUCAUAGAGCAGUCUGUUUAUUCCCAAAAAAAACAAAAAAAAAAUAUUUUAAGAUCUUUAUCAAUACAAUUUUGUAUUAUAUAUGUUUUUCUAUUUUGAAUAUUUACAUGAUAAAACGAUUUACAAGGAUAGCACUUUUUUUAAAGGUAAUCUAACUCGGGAGGUACUUUAGGGCGAUAUGAUUUUCAAUUUUCUUUAAUUUAAUGUUAUUAAUUAAUUAUUUAGAUACACUUGAAUACAUGCGAGGCAUAUUGUUUUUUAGAUAGGUAUAUUGGUUCAAUUAAACAUACUUUUUAUAGAAAACUAUGUUAUAAAAAAGUACCUUCUAGGAAUUCUCAAAAAUUAAAAUAACGAUCUAAAAUAUCAACAAAAGCCCAUUUCUCUUAAAUAUUGAUUUUACCAAUCCUUGGUAGAAACUUAUAGACAGAAAAAAAUACAUAUUUUAAGAAAAUGUUUACGUUCCGUGGUCAACUUGUAAUCUAAAAUGUGAAUAUGCCUAAUUCUGAGUGAAGUAAACAUUCAGAACCUAAAUUUUCUUGUCUGAGUCUCAUAUAGCUCUCUUUUGAUAAAUCAAAGUUGGUAUCACUACAGGAUACUCCUUAAAUGUUUUAAAAAAUCCUUGUAGGUAUAUCGAAAUAAUCAGCUUUAACUACACUUAAAAAUUCCAAAAAUCAGAAUUUGUUUAACCUAACCUAACUCAUACAAAAAAUGGAACGAGUUCGCUUAGUGAAUCUAUAUCACAAAGUGAAUAAUAUGUAUUGAACUUAUAGACUAUGAGUAUUGAGUUUAAUAUCUACCCAAAGAAUAAAAAUGUAUAAUGUUGAUAUCUUCGAAUCAUUGCAGUGACAUAAUGCAUUAGAGUUAUAGUUAUAGUUGUUUUUUUUUUAAUUCCAUUUAUAAAAUUAUUUGAAUUUUUUUCCCAACAAAUAUACAUAAUUAUAAAAAUUCAGCUUUAUUGUAAAUAUUGUGGUAUUUAGUAUUCUUCUCGUUCACAGAGCCUGGUUCUCCGGUUAAUUUUAAAGCUCAAUACAUUGACAGUACAACUAUUACUCUGCAGUGGGGUAUUCCAUGGAUAUUCAAUAGUAUUUUAGAUACAUUCAUUAUCAACGGAGAAGCCAUUUCAUCUGUGGAUAAUGAAAACAUGAACGAUAAUAUUAAUCCAAUAAUUAUUAUAGAAAUUCCAAUCGACGAAGAAUUACCUACUUAUAACUAUACGGUAAUGGAUAAAUACAUACAUUAAAAAACGGAUAUACUUCGCACGAUGUGGUGGGUUACUGUUGUAAUUGAUAAGUUAAGAAGAUAGAGGAAGAUAGAUAAAAGAAUAUAAAACAGAUUUCGGUUACACGUGUUUUGAAAUGCCGUAAUAUUUACGAUUUUCGUUAAAAUUGGAUAUUAAUAUUUUAAAAAAAGCAAAUAAAAUUGAGUGUAAUGUAUAAUUCGUUUUUUACCUAAUAUAAUUACUUAUAAUAACUUCUUAUUAAAUUUUAGAGUAUCAUAAAAAAAUUACGUAAAAAAUUAGCAAAAUUAUUGUAUAUCUCUAUAAAUAACUCAACAGUUUUGAAAAUUGUAUACACGUCUAGAAAAAAAAUAUAAGUAUGAUGUCAUACUAUCAUUUUAACAAAAUAAAAAACACAUCUUUUUAUAAAUAAUAUAUAUAUAUUAUUUUAUACUUAAAAUUAAAUUAUUAAAUGAUAUCUGAAUGUUAAGUAAAGUAUGUGAAAUAAAAUUACCAAAAUAAAGUGUCUUUCCCCACUUCAUAUUUUUUGAUUUUAUCAGAUCAAUAACAUGCAUUGUUAUACGUAUUUUAUCAUAAUAAACCAGUAAAGCCUAUUGUGCAUCAAGGUAACAAGGUUUAAAAAUUAAAAGACAAUUUUAGGUAAAAUGGGAAAUAUUUCCAACCUUACAGUGCUAUGGCUAUUAUUUAAAAUGUAUAUAGCUAAAUUUUUCUACCAUAAAUACUGCCCAAACUGAAAAAAACAAGAGACCAUUUUUGUUAAAUUUUUAAUUUAAUUUUUGAGCAAGUAAUUUUUUGUUUUUUUUUUUUUGAUUUUUCUUGUAGUUUUUAAUUUAGAAAAACCGGAAAGUGACAAAAAGUUAAAACCAAGAAAUUUAGGGCGAUAGGAUUCCUUUAUUUUAAAUUUAUACAACUUAAAUUUUCUAUACAAAAUAUUGUUCCAAUAUAAAAAUAAAAAACAAAGGACCUUUAUUGUUUCAUUUUAAAUUUAAGUGAUGUGCAAAAACGUCAAUUUUGAUUUUGUUUGUAGUUUUUUAAUAAUUGAUCAAAACAAAAAAAUACGUAGGAAAAACGGGUAAAAUUUACGAAAAUUAUUCAUUUUACUAGUUUAAUUUAAUUUUUGUUGUUUUAAGAAGCGGAUAAAAAUAUUCGUAGAUUUGAAAUUUGAAUAGUGAAAUCAAAUUUGCCUUUUCUAGUCUUUGUAUAAUUGCAAAAUAUUUGAAUCAUUUUUUACCUAUUUGUAGACAUUAAAUUUGCGAGAUUUUUACGUAACUUUUAUUCGGUAGUUACUCCGUGGAUGCAAUUGGUAGAUUAAACUGAAAUGCUUGAAAAUUUAACAGGAGAUUGAUAAUAAUUCGUACUUGAUGAUAAAAAUAAAAUUGAGAAUUGAAGAAUGUAGAAUUUUUUUAUAAGAGUUUUAAAACCAAAUUUCGGCGAAUAAAGUAAAUAUUACAGCCAUUAAAAACAUGUAUAACUGAACUUACCACAGAUUCAUUUUUCGUUAGCAAUAAUUUAUUGUUGCUUACAGAUCUAAAUUCCUAAAGACCCUCUAUAUCCUACCUUCCAAACUUCUUACUUACAACAGUGGCAUACCCGUCGUAUGAAGAUAUCCGUCUUUUUAAUUGCAUACUUAGUUAAAAAUAAAUAUAUACUCAUGUAUUUUAGAAUUAUAUAUAUAUAUAUAUAUAUAUAUGAAUCCGCAUCAUGAAUUUGUUUUAUAGGUAAAAAAUCUAAAACCCGGAUGUACGUAUUCAUUUGGAAUGUUAACCGUAUCCGAAUCUUUAUGGUAUAGCGAUCCGACCAGAAUUGCCGUUACAACUCUGGGAUAAUAAUUAAUUAUUAUACUCUUAUUAUUGGUUUCGAUAUUAUAACUUGUUUUUAGUUUCGUUUUUUAAUACAUUGUUAAUACCUCAUUUGAUAUAAUUUGUUAUAUUAAUAAAUAACAUACUAAUUAUUUGGAAUUUGCAUUUAAUAUAAAUAAUCGCUG